GUAGGGGGGCAAGCGUUGUCCGGAUUCAUUGGGCGUAAAGCGCGUGUAGGCGGUUCAAUAGGUCCGAUGUGAAAACUCGAGGCUCAACUUCGAGAGGCCAUCGGAAACCAUUGGACUAGAGUCCGGAAGAGGAGAGUGGAAUUCCUGGUGUAGCGGUGGAAUGCGCAGAUAUCAGGAGGAACACCGAUGGCGAAGGCAGCUCUCUGGGACGGUACUGACGCUGAGACGCGAAAGCGUGGGGGGAGCGAACAGGAUUAGAUACCCUGGUAGUCCACGCCGUAAACCGAUGGGCACUAGGUGUGGGUGGUGUCGACUCCAUCCGUGCCGCAGCUAACGCAUUAAGUGCCCCCCGCCUGGGAGUACGGCCGCAAGGCUA
rnacentral:rRNA from 1 species